rnacentral:rRNA from 1 species
UACAGAGGUCUCGAGCGUUAGGCGGAAUCACUGGGCUUAAAGCGUGUGUAGGCGGGUCGUUAAGUACCUUGUGAAAUCCCAUGGCUCAACCAUGGAACUGCUUGGUAUGCUGGCGAUCUUGUGCAACCUAGGGGCGAGCGGAACAGAUGGUGGAGCGGUGAAAUGCGUAGAUAUCAUCUGGAACGCCAAUGGUGAAAACAGCUCGCUGGGGGUUUGCAGACGCUGAGACACGAAAGCCAGGGGAGCGAACGGG